GUGCUUGCCUACGGGCUGGCACAUAUACUAAAAUUGGAUCGAUACCGAGAGAAGAUUAGCAUGGUCCCCUGCGAAAGAUUAGGACAUGCAAAUCCGUGAAAGCAGUUCCAUAUUU
ensembl:snRNA U6 U6 spliceosomal RNA